UUUAUUAGGGGUGAAACUUGUUACUUACUGUCACGUUAUCCAUAUUUUACAACAACAUCCACAACAGGAUACAAUUAAUCUAUACUCCAAAUAUGCUGAGCGAUCUGCCAAAAAAACAUAUUCGGAGUAACAUAACUGUCACCAUCGAAACAAUGCUAAAGUACAUCGAGCAAAGGUCAAUAGUGUGUUAAUAGGUGUAAAGGUCACUAAGAAUGAGAAAUAAUAUCAUUUAAUGCAUAAUUCGUUGUUGACCAAGUUGUACAAAAAGGCACAAUAGAAAAAUUUGUUUCUUACAAAAUAAUUAGCGUCAAAUGAAGUACUUCAAUAAUAUCCCAUUCAAGCAUUUGUGGCGGUCGACGCGGACAGCCACGAGUGUAGCGCAGCAGCGCGGACCGUGGAGAGAGUCGGUCGUCCGUCGAUCGUCAGUUGUCUCCAGCAUGGAUACCAAAAAAUGUAUAAAAGGACGGGUCCACGCUGGACGAUAGUUAGUGUGUGUAAAUCUAUAAGCGCAGCAUUAUGCGCCCCACACAUUAUUAAUGUUUAAAUUUUUAACUCUUGAAAUAUUUUGUAUUUUCAAAUUUUAAUUUUUCUGAGAUAUAUAAUAAUUGAAAGAUUUAAUAUAGUUACCAACAUAAAACAAAUCUCAUGUACAAAGUUAACAAAUUAUUUAUUUAUAUUUAAAUAAUAUAUUAUAAAAGAAACUAAUUAACUCAAGUAAUAUUCUUUGAGAUGUUGAGAUGUUGGCUUAAGAAUUGCUUCAUCUUUAAGACUAACAACCCAACCGGGUUCAAGGCCAUAGAAUAUCUGUCUUGGAUCUUUACGCUGUGUAAGCAUUUCAUAGUCUGGAUCAUCUUCAAUUUUUGGAAGUACAUAACCAUAUUUUUGAGAUAAAACCAGUCGUUCCUUAGAAAUUUCCUCAGGAUUUGCUAAAUACCCUCUCGUUGCUGCACUUGAAUAGUACUCCAAACAGUCUGUUGGUGGUAAGAAUCUACGAGGUAUAGGUACUCCUAAAUUAAUAAAGCUUUAAUUAUAAUACUGUUCAAAACAAAAUCAUCCAAACACUGAUCUAAAAA